AUUGAACGCUGGCGGCAGGCCUAACACAUGCAAGUCGAGCGGAUGAAGGGAGCUUGCUCCUGGAUUCAGCGGCGGACGGGUGAGUAAUGCCUAGGAAUCUGCCUGGUAGUGGGGGAUAACGUCCGGAAACGGGCGCUAAUACCGCAUACAUCCUGAGGGAGAAAGUGGGGGAUCUUCGGACCUCACGCUAUCAGAUGAGCCUAGGUCGGAUUAGCUAGUUGGUGGGGUAAAGGCCUACCAAGGCGACGAUCCGUAACUGGUCUGAGAGGAUGAUCAGUCACACUGGAACUGAGACACGGUCCAGACUCCUACGGGAGGCAGCAGUGGGGAAUAUUGGACAAUAGGCGAAAGCCUGAUCCAGCCAUGCCGCGUGUGUGAAGAAGGUCUUCGGAUUGUAAAGCACUUUAAGUUGGGAGGAAGGGCAGUAAGUUAAUACCUUGCUGUUUUGACGUUACCAACAGAAUAAGCACCGGCUAACUUCGUG
rnacentral:rRNA from 1 species